rnacentral:rRNA from 1 species
GACGAACGCUGGCGGCGUGCUUAACACAUGCAAGUCGAACGGAAAGGCCCCUUUGGGGGUACUCGAGUGGCGAACGGGUGAGUAACACGUGAGUAACCUGCCCUUGACUUCGGGAUAACUUCAGGAAACUGGGGCUAAUACCGGAUAGGAAUCCUUUCUGCAUGGUGGGGGUUGGAAAGCUUCGGCGGUUUUGGAUGGACUCGCGGCUUAUCAGCUUGUUGGUGGGGUAGUGGCUUACCAAGGCUUUGACGGGUAGCCGGCCUGAGAGGGCGACCGGCCACAUUGGGACUGAGAUACGGCCCAGACUCCUACGGGAGGCAGCAGUGGGGAAGAUUGCACAAUGGGCGGAAGCCUGAUGCAGCAACGCCGCGUGCGGGAUGACGGCCUUCGGGUUGUAAAACGCUUUCAGCAGGGGCGAAGCUUGUGGUGACGGUACCUGCAGAAGAAGCACCGGCUAACUACGUG